AGUUUUAGGAAGAAUUUUGGAUUUAGGGUUCGCGUAAAGUAACAUGCGAGAUAGAAUAGUGAUGUUGGAGGUGAAAAAUGAUGGUAAAAAAUAUUUCUUUCAAGGGUAAAUAUUUGUUUUUACAAGAAAAUGUAUGGUUAGUUUUAGUUUUAAACUGUCAACUGACCUCGAGGGACAAAUUUGCAAAAUUUCAAAUUCGGGGGGAUCUAUUUGGCAACUAAUAACUUUGAGGUACAAAUGCAGAAUCCAAACUUUUCAGGGACAUAUGUGAAGAUACUGGAAUUACUAUUUACAUGGAAGAACUUCUUGUUUCGGUUGUAUGAGUAAUCAAACAUUCAUUUGCUGAAUUUUAUGUAACACUUUGUCUUCGCCAAAUAAUUGACUAAAUUUGUUUUUUUCUUCUCGGAAAUGUUUUCUUGGUUGUUAAUAAUUGGAGUAACAUUUGUUUAUCCCGCUCAAAAUUUUGUGUAAAUUGAUCUAUAUGAUCAAAUUAUGGGCUUGUAUGCAAAUUAUUCGUUAAAAUCAUUAUAAUUUCACUAUAGGAGUAAUGGUUAAAUUCUAAUUAUCUCUUGUUAUACUCAGGAGCCACACUCACCGAUUUGUGGUUGCUCGUUGUUGUCACGCCAUACCGGAAACACCAAGCAAUUACUUAGAGCAAAGAGAGGUGCGCCAAGGAAAAGAGUAUGGCCGUUCCCAUAGCUACUAUAUCCCAAAGUCCCUCCUCUGUGGCUCUUCUAUUUCUCCUACUUUCCUAUGGGGUAGGAAUCUUUCUUCUCAGGCUUGCGUUACGUCCAAUAGUAAAGCGGAUGACGCAGAGGAGGGCUUUUCUGAUCUUGAUGUGCCUCCUGAAACUGAUAAUUCGAUUGACUUAUCUGAAGAAGGUAACUUAUCGGAAGAAGAUUCUGGUGAAGCUGCUGAUAAAUCUAUUGGCUUAUCAGACAGCGAAUCUGAUUUGAAAGGUAAAAAGGUGUCAAGUAAGAAGGUAUGCUCAACUCCUCUUUUCAAGAUUAUAAUAGAUGCUUCAAGACCAGCUGUAACGGGAGCGCUUAACAAAUGGGUUGAGGAAGGCAAUGCAUUGGGACGAAAUGAAGUAUCUUUCACGCUUCUUACUCUUCGCAAGCGGAAAAAAUAUGCAAAAGCACUACAGGUCCUGAAAUUUUCCUUAUUCACCUAGUAGUUUUUCUUUUUUCCGUAGAAUAUUCUGUAUGGCAAUUCUUUUUCGUGUAUUAUAUUUUUCUUGCUUCAUUUUUGGUGAAAUUGUUGGGUGGCUUCCAGACACGCUAAUAAUAUUCAGCUGAACAUAGAUGAGAAAAUUACGCUGAUGAUUUUGCCUCUAUAUGUUAAUUAUAAUAGGCUUUAAUAUGUACUUUGCGGGUAUAGUCAGUUAAAUGGCUUCGAAGUCUGAAUAGUAAUCAAGGCUAACUGGAUUUGAGUUAUGAAAAAAAGGAAGUGUGAUUUUCGCUAUCGCAUCAAGUUUCAUGCUCUAACGCAUAGAAAUAUUAGGUGAGGUUUUUUCAGCAAGAGCUCGACGAAAAUAGGAUGAUGAAAAUUCCACUUUAUUAAACCAGAUCAAACCGAAUAGCAGAGAUGGAUGGAAUUGAACUAAACCUUUUUUGUGUGUUCAGUUUAGGUCAAAUUGUUUGGGCCUAUUCUUCUUUCAAAUUUGGGCCUUACUUUAGUUGGAUUUCAACUGUUACAUUUUCUUGUUAAUUUUCAAUGCUGCUUAAUAACUUAAAAUAUUAGUUUGUUAUCUAGUGAUCGUAAUUCAUGGUCUAUUUCUUUAACUCAAGGAUUGUUGUGCCACCGGCACGGGGUGCGCUGGUGCCCAUUGGCAUGGGGUGUGCUUGUGUGCUAGCGGCAGAGCACAGUACGCUGACAUAUCUCAGCACACACUCUGUUUUAAUUGUCAACGCGAUCGGCACAGGCGGCAUGCCCUUAUUGGCAUGGGUGGCACAGCCUUAUCAGUACAGGCGGCACGUGCCGACCAUGCCAGACUGUGGCAACUGGCACGAGAAUUCUUGCUUUAGCUAUACAUGAAACAUGCAUAAUAUAGUCUUUAACUUUUAAUGCUACCAUGAAAACAUACUGGAGGAAUGGGAUCAUUUUUUGAGUAAAAUGUGUCUGUGUAAUUUAAUUUUAUUUGAGCCUAGGGUAUUUCUUCUGCUCUUCCCCCUCUUUUUCAUCUAAUUUCUUGGCCUUUUUUUCGCUUUCUCUACCUUGUAACAUCCGAUUAAAUAUAUUAUAUCGCAAUCAAUAGAUCAGCACAUUGUAGAAUCCAAACUUUCUGGAUAACAAUUGAACAAGAAUGAUGCCUUCACAAUUAGGAGAUUGACACCAAUAUUUCCAUAAAAUAAUUAGUUGCAAUCUAUGACAAAUAAACUACAAUUGCAAGAGAAGCGACACCAGAAUCGGUACGGCGUAAGGUUUGUGCAGAGAAGAUCCUUGAUUACUGUGUUUCAAUAAACUACUGAUGCACUUUUCCCUGGGCCGUCUACCUCUUCUGUUAGAUUUUUCUCUAUUUAUCCUUGUUUUUCUGUUAAUGUUUGUUUCUUCUUCUUCUUUUAUUCUACUUUACGGCAUCUGAUCAUCAACACUGGACGGCUCAUAUUAAUAAAAGUAAUGUCUCUGAUGCUAUAAAUCAAGUGUAGCUCAAUCAUGAUUUUGUUCUGAAGUGCAGAAGUGCUUUCAUAUAUAAACAGUAUUUACUAAGUUCAGAAAAGCCAACAGGCAGCAAGUCAUGAAGUUUUACCAAAGACAGCUAUUUUCUUUUGGUUGUUCAAUCUCAGUUCUUUCUCUCAAAUUAUUGUGCAGUUUAUGGAGUGGCUAGAAUCAACCAAGCGCCUAGAUUUUGCUGAGCGUGAUUACGCUUCGCAGCUAGAUUUGAUUGCCAAAGUGUACGGCAUCAACAAAGCUGAGAAGUUCAUCGAGAAAAUUCCCCAAUCCUGUAGAGGCGAGAUAAUCUACCGGACCCUUCUGGCCAAUUGUGUCGGUGCCGUCAAUGUAUCAAAAGCCGAAGAAGUCUUCAACAAAAUGCGCGAUCUUGGCUUGCCGAUCUCUACCUUCGCGUGCAACCAGUUGUUACUUCUUUACAAAAGAAUCAACAAGAAGAAGAUAGCUGAUGUCCUUUUACUGAUGGAAAAGGAAAAUGUGAAACCCUCUCUCUUCACUUACAAGCUUCUAGUGGACACUAAAGGCAUUAGCAAAGACAUAUCCGGUAUGGAACAGAUUAUGGAGACGAUGAAGAGUGACGGUAUCGAGCCAGAUUUUGUGAUUCAAGCCAUGGUUAUAAAGCACUACAUCUCCGCAGGUCUUAAGGAUAAGGCCGAAGCUGCUUUGAAGGAAAUGGAAGGCAGUGAUAUUAAAGAGAACCGUGCUUCUUGCAAGGCGCUUCUCCCUCUCUACGCUGCUCUCGGGAAAGCCGAUGAAGUUGAAAGGAUUUGGAAAGAGUGCGAGGCUAGCCCCCGUAUAGAUGAGUUUUUAGCCGUUAUAGAAGCUUGGGGAAAGCUAGGGCUGGUAGAAAAGGCCGAAGAGGCUUUUGAGGAAGUGCUGAAGAAAUGGAAGAAGCUUUCUUCAAUGUACUACACUGCCCUGUUGAAGGUUUAUGCAAACCAUAAGCUUCUCUCUAAGGGGAAGGAUUUAGUUAAGAGAAUGUCUGAUAAUGGCUGCAGAAUUGGUCCUACGACUUUGGACGUGCUGGUGAAGCUUUACGUAGAAGCUGGUGAGGUCGAAAAAGCUGAUUCCAUACUGCAAAGAGCUAAUCAGAAUAAUCAGAUUAAGCCCCGCUACAACACAUACAUUACUUUGCUGGAAAAUUAUGCAAAAAGGGGAGAUAUUCACAAUGCAGAGAAGGUAUUCAACAGGCUGAGACAAAUUGCGUAUGCUGGGAGGAUGAAGCAGUAUCAGUUGCUACUUCUAGCUUAUGUUAAUGCGAAGACCCCUGCGUACGGGUUUAGAGAGAGAAUGAAAGCGGAUAAUAUUUUCCCGAACAAGGCGGUGGCCGCGCAACUCGCUGCUGUUGAUGCUUUUAGGAAGACGCAGAUAUCCGAAUUGCUUGAUUAGGUUAUAAUUUCAUUAGUAGGUAACUUUGUAUUGUGAUGAUACAUGGAUUUACUCUAAUGCUAUUUACACAUGAAAAUGGAUUUCUAAAUCCUUCAUUGUUGUACUUGGUUCGAGACGUACUCGGAUACUUUUGACAAAAUAAGAUAUUUAUUCUUACAAAUCGUGAUUUUACCCAUCAGAAACUUGAUGUCUUGUUAUAUGUUUGAAACAGAGAAAGGUUUUGGUUCUCAUCUUUAUUUGCUUGAUAAGUCAAAUGUUUCCUUGUUCAGUUUCUUUACUCAAUUCCAUAUGCAAUAUCUGAGUUUAGAUUUAUAGAUUUUAAGGUAAUUAGAUAUAUUUAAACCCAUGAAUUUAAUUGCCGUAGCACGAGGUCGUGCCGGAAGCUUGUCAGCAUGGUACGACACGAUAUGUGUAGGGCCAUGCUGAUGCGUGCCGGUUACAAAAGAAUACAUGUGUGCCGACCAAGGUUUAAAUUGCCAUGGUACGGGGGCGUGCUACUGCCUCCCUGGCGCGGUACAACACCGGCAGGCUUCCGUGCCGACACAUGGUACGCUUGCAUGCCGAUGGAUACGCAUAACCUUGUACUGGCACGCUUUGGCGCGAACUUAUUUCAGUUUUUUUGUUCGAAUAAGUUCUUAUAAUAUUAUUUGAAAGGUUUAAUCAAAUAAUUAUGAAUAUAUGCUAUAUAUAGCUUACUACACUUAUCAAUUAACAAACUUAUAACUUUUUUUUUUGUAUGUAAAGUAAUUUUAUUAGUAUUUUCAAUCUUCUAGCAUAAAAAUAAAAUUUUAUAUUUGAUGUGGCUAAAAAUUUGUUUAUUGAGUUCGAUUUUGUUUUCUUAAUUCACCAAAAAAUUUACGGUUAAAAUAAUUUGUGAAGAAAAAAUAGAUGUCUGUGGUGGAAGCGGAAGGCUUGACAAAUCUUUUGUCCGUAUAUUGAUAAAUAAAAUAAAAAAUUAUAAUUAUUUUGACUUAUCUAAUAAGUAAAUUUUCGAUUUGCAAUAUCUUUGCGGGGGUGUGGGGUACCCAAAAUUCUUUGGAUAACCCAAAGCAAAAAACAAAAAGGAAAAAAAAAAAAAAAGCAAAAAAGCAAAAAAAAAAAAAAAGAAAAAAAAGUACAGUGCUGGCGCAACACUGUGCCGUGGCACAUUGCGCCAUGACGCUCUGUCUCGUGCAGCACAACGCUGCAUGCCGAGGCACGGAGGGGGGUCCGAAACCCUCCCUCCCCCUUCCCCCCCCCCCACCCCCCCCAAUGGGGCCCCCUUCUUGGUGGCCCGGUAUGUGUCGUCUUGUGACGUACGGCACGGGGCGGUACUUUAAAUCUUGAUGCCGAACAUAAUGGCAUAAAAUAUUUAUUUUAUUUAGUAACAAAAAUAUUCUAACAGUUUAUUCUGUAUUUUUAUCAAAUUUUUUAAACUUACUAAUUUGAAGAAUAAAGAGUUUUAAGUUGUACCAUCGGCACGGGGUUAUAUCGUGUCAAUAUUUUGUUGGCACGAUACUGCACGGUAGAUACACGGUCACUUAAAAUCCUUCAAAAUUGUUUCUGUAUAUACCUUUCUUAAGUCCAAGUUUUUAUAUUUUUCUUUUGCGACUAUAGUAUCUUCAUGGCUUGUUUAAAUGCAUGAAAAUUUUUCCCAUGUAUAUCUGUCGCAACUUUAUGGGAAUGCAUUAUAAGAAAUCAUCUUAUAAAUGGAAUGUUCUUUUACGAAAAAUAUUACUAUUAUGAUCGAUACAUUGCUUUAGAUUGAAAUCAUAAUUUUAAGCUGAAAUAAAAAAUAAAUGUGAGAAGUUUUAUUGGAUAAUUAAUUCAUUCUAAUAUUUGGAAUCAUCGUGCUCAUGAUAAAAAGCAAGGAUUUAAGUACCGUGACACAGGAUCGUGCCGAAAACUUACCGGUACGAUACAACACGGUGUAUGCCGAGCCGUACCGAUACGUGCCGGUCAAAAAAAUUCUUGUGUGCCGACACAUAAUAGCAUAAAAUAUUUAUUUUUUUUAGCAAUAAAAUAUUCUAACUAUUUAUUAUAUUUUUUUAUUAAAUCUUUUGAACUUUAUUGAGAAAAUUAUUUACUAAUUUAAAAAAUAGAAGGUUUUGAGUUGUGCCAUCGGUACGAGAUCUGUAUUGUAUCGGUAUCUUAUUGGCACAGUACAGUACGGUGGAUACGACCACGGACACUUA
rnacentral:lncRNA from 1 species